rnacentral:rRNA from 1 species
AACGAACGCUGGCGGCAUGCCUAACACAUGCAAGUCGAACGAGACCUUCGGGUCUAGUGGCGCACGGGUGCGUAACGCGUGGGAACCUGCCCUUAGGUUCGGAAUAACUCCCCGAAAGGGGUGCUAAUACCGGAUAAUGUCUUCGGACCAAAGAUUUAUCGCCUUUGGAUGGGCCCGCGUUGGAUUAGCUGGUUGGUAGGGUAAAAGCCUACCAAGGCGACGAUACAUAGCUGGUCUGAGAGGAUGAGCAGCCACACUGGGACUGAGACACGGCCCAGACUCCUACGGGAGGCAGCAGUGGGGAAUAUUGGAAAAUGGGGGAAAGGCUGAUCCAGCAAUGCCGCGUGAGUGAUGAAGGCCUUAGGGUUGUAAAGCUCUUUUACCCGGGAUGAUAAUGACAGUACCGGGAGAAUAAGCUCCGGCUAACUCCGUG